rnacentral:rRNA from 1 species
CGGGACACGUGGUAUCCUGUCUGAAUAUGGGGGGACCAUCCUCCAAGGCUAAAUACUCCUGACUGACCGAUAGUGAACCAGUACCGUGAGGGAAAGGCGAAAAGAACCCCGGCGAGGGGAGUGAAAAAGAACCUGAAACCGUGUACGUACAAGCAGUGGGAGCACGCUUCGGCGUGUGACUGCGUACCUUUUGUAUAAUGGGUCAGCGACUUAUAUUCUGUAGCAAGGUUAACCGAAUAGGGGAGCCGAAGGGAAACCGAGUCUUAACUGGGCGUUAAGUUGCAGGGUAUAGACCCGAAACCCGGUGAUCUAGCCAUGGGCAGGUUGAAGGUUGGGUAACACUAACUGGAGGACCGAACCGACUAAUGUUGAAAAAUUAGCGGAUGACUUGUGGCUGGGGGUGAAAGGCCAAUCAAACCGGGAGAUAGCUGGUUCUCCCCGAAAGCUAUUUAGGUAGCGCCUCGUGAAUUCAUCUCCGGGGGUAGAGCACUGUUUCGGCAAGGGGGUCAUCCCGACUUACCAACCCGAUGCAAACUGCGAAUACCGGAGAAUGUUAUCACGGGAGACACACGGCGGGUGCUAACGUCCGUCGUGAAGAGGGAAACAACCCAGACCGCCAGCUAAGGUCCCAAAGUCAUGGUUAAGUGGGAAACGAUGUGGGAAGGCCCAGACAGCCAGGAUGUUGGCUUAGAAGCAGCCAUCAUUUAAAGAAAGCGUAAUAGCUCACUGGUCGAGUCGGCCUGCGCGGAAGAUGUAACGGGGCUAAACCAUGCACCGAAGCUGCGGCAGCGACACUAUGUGUUGUUGGGUAGGGGAGCGUUCUGUAAGCCUGUGAAGGUGUACUGUGAGGUAUGCUGGAGGUAUCAGAAGUGCGAAUGCUGACAUAAGUAACGAUAAAGCGGGUGAAAAGCCCGCUCGCCGGAAGACCAAGGGUUCCUGUCCAACGUUAAUCGGGGCAGGGUGAGUCGACCCCUAAGGCGAGGCCGAAAGGCGUAGUCGAUGGGAAACAGGUUAAUAUUCCUGUACUUGGUGUUACUGCGAAGGGGGGACGGAGAAGGCUAUGUUGGCCGGGCGACGGUUGUCCCGGUUUAAGCGUGUAGGCUGGUUUUCCAGGCAAAUCCGGAAAAUCAAGGCUGAGGCGUGAUGACGAGGCACUACGGUGCUGAAGCAACAAAUGCCCUGCUUCCAGGAAAAGCCUCUAAGCAUCAGGUAACAUCAAAUCGUACCCCAAACCGACACAGGUGGUCAGGUAGAGAAUACCAAGGCGCUUGAGAGAACUCGGGUGAAGGAACUAGGCAAAAUGGUGCCGUAACUUCGGGAGAAGGCACGCUGAUAUGUAGGUGAAGCGACUUGCUCGUGGAGCUGAAAUCAGUCGAAGAUACCAGCUGGCUGCAACUGUUUAUUAAAAACACAGCACUGUGCAAACACGAAAGUGGACGUAUACGGUGUGACGCCUGCCCGGUGCCGGAAGGUUAAUUGAUGGGGUUAGCGGUAACGCGAAGCUCUUGAUCGAAGCCCCGGUAAACGGCGGCCGUAACUAUAACGGUCCUAAGGUAGCGAAAUUCCUUGUCGGGUAAGUUCCGACCUGCACGAAUGGCGUAAUGAUGGCCAGGCUGUCUCCACCCGAGACUCAGUGAAAUUGAACUCGCUGUGAAGAUGCAGUGUACCCGCGGCAAGACGGAAAGACCCCGUGAACCUUUACUAUAGCUUGACACUGAACAUUGAGCCUUGAUGUGUAGGAUAGGUGGGAGGCUUUGAAGUGUGGACGCCAGUCUGCAUGGAGCCGACCUUGAAAUACCACCCUUUAAUGUUUGAUGUUCUAACGUUGGCCCGUUAUC